UACGAAGGGGGCUAGCGUUGUUCGGGAUUACUGGGCGUAAAGCGCGUGUAGGCGGGUCUUUAAGUCAGGGGUGAAAUCCUGGAGCUCAACUCCAGAACUGCCUUUGAUACUGAAGAUCUUGAGUUCGGGAGAGGUGAGUGGAACUGCGAGUGUAGAGGUGAAAUUCGUAGAUAUUCGCAAGAACACCAGUGGCGAAGGCGGCUCACUGGCCCGAUACUGACGCUGAGGCACGAAAGCGUGGGGAGCAAACAGGG
rnacentral:rRNA from 1 species